GGUGUUUACUGUCGAACUGAACACUCUACCGUUUACUGUCUGGUGGUGCUCUUCACCGAGCGUCACCAGUGGUCGGUACGUUUACUUUGAAAAAAUUAGAGUGCUCAAAGCGGUUUUUACACGACCGAAUACUGUUGCAUGGAAUAAUGAAAUAGGACUUUGGUUCUAUUUUGUUGGUCUUCGGAACCAAGGGUAAUGAUUUAAGAGGGACAGACGGGGGCAUUAGUAUUGCGACGCUAGAGGUGAAAUUUCUUGGACCGUGCCAAGACUAACCUUAAGGCGAAAGCCAUUUGCCCAAGAAAUGUUUCCAUUAAUUCAAAGAACCGAAAGUUUAAGAGGUUUCCGAAGGCCAAUCAAGAUACCCGCCCUUAGUUCCUAACCCAAUAAAACGAUUGCCAAACCAGCAAAUCAGGCCUGUGGUUCCUCUUGAAUGACCACGGCCUGGCGGCUUCCGGGAAACCCAAAGUUCUUUUCGGUUCCCAGGGGAAGUAUGGUUGCAAAGCUGAAAACUUUAAAGGAAUGACGGAAGGGCCACCACCCAGGAGUGGAGCUGCGGCUUAAUUUGACUCAACACGGGGAAACUCCACCCCGGCCCGGACACUGUGAGGAUUGACAGGUUGAAGCCCUUUCUUGAUUCAGUGGGUGGUGGUGCAUGGCCGUUCUUAGUUGGUGGAGUGAUUUGUCUGGUUAAUUCCGAUAACGAACGAGACUCUAGCCUACUAAUUAGACCGUGGCGUCCUCGUGCCGCCACGGCGCUUCCUAGAGGGACAGACGG
rnacentral:rRNA from 1 species